rnacentral:rRNA from 1 species
CAGUAGCCGCGGUAAUACGGAGGGUGCAAGCGUUAAUCGGAAUUACUGGGCGUAAAGCGCACGCAGGUGGUCUGACAAGUCAGAUGUGAAAUCCCCGGGCUUAACCUGGGAACUGCAUUUGAAACUGUCAGGCUGGAGUCUUGUAGAGGGGGGUGGAAUUCCAGGUGUAGCGGUGAAAUGCGUAGAGAUCUGGAGGAAUACCGGUGGCGAAGGCGGCCCCCUGGACAAAGACUGACGCUCAGGUGCGAAAGCGUGGGGAGCAAACAGGAUUAGAUACCCGUGUAGUCCCUGUCUCUUAUAC